GACGAACGCUGGCGGCGUGCUUAACACAUGCAAGUCGAACGGAAAGGCCCUGCUUUUGUGUGGUGCUCGAGUGGCGAACGGGUGAGUAACACGUGAGUAACCUGCCCUUUACUUUGGGAUAACUUCAGGAAACUGGGGCUAAUACCGGAUAGGAGCUCCUGCUGCAUGGUGUGGGUUGGAAAGUUUCGGCGGUUGGGGCUGUACUCGCGGCUUAUUAGCUUGUGGGUGGGGUAAUGGCUUACCGAGGCUUUGACGCGUAGCCGACCUGAGAGGGUGAGCGGCCACACGGGGACUGAGACACGGCCCAGACGGCUACGGGAGGCAGCAGUAGGGAAUCUUCGGCAAUCGACGCAAGUCUGACCGGGCAACGCCGCGUGAGUGAAGAAGGUUGUCGGAUCGGAAAAAUCUGUUGUUAGAAAAGAACAAGGAUGGGAGUGGAAAGGUCAGCCCUUGACGGUAUCUAACCAGAAAGCCACGGCUAACUACGUG
rnacentral:rRNA from 1 species